rnacentral:rRNA from 1 species
UAUUAUAUUUAAUCUUAAACACAAAAGAUUGAUUACUAAAAAAAUAUUUUUUAUAAACUCAAAGAAUUUGGCGGUGUUUUAAUCUAAUUAGAGGAACUUGUUUUUAUAAUCGAUAAACCCCGUUAAAUCUCUCUUAUUUUAAAUAGCCUGUAUACCGUCAUUAUUAAAUAAUUUUUAUUGAAUAAAUUAUUGUAAAUAAAUUAUUUUAAAUAUAUUAGAUCAAGGUGCAAGUUAAUAAAUAAGAAAAAAUGAGUUACAAUAAUAAUUUAUUUAAACGAAUUAUAGUUUUAAAAAAUNUAUAAAGGAGUAUUUAAUAGUAAAAUAAAAUAAAAAUUGAAUAUUAGACUAUAAAUAUGUACAUAUCGCCGUGCUAGACCAAGUCUCUGCUACCGUACGUGUCUGA